rnacentral:rRNA from 1 species
AGAGAGAGACAUGCGCGCAUAUCAAUAAGCGGAGGAAAAGAAACUAACAAGGAUUCCCUUAGUAACGGCGAGUGAAGCGGGAAGAGCUCAAAUUUGAAAUCUUCAAGGUUUUACCUUGACGAAUUGUAGUUUAAAGAAGUGUUUUCUGCUGAAGUUUUGGUAAAAGUUCUUUGGAAUAGGACAUCAUAGAGGGUGAGAAUCCCGUAUUUGACCAUUAUUUUCAGCUUUGUGAUACACUUUCAAAGAGUCGGAUUGUUUGGGAAUGCAGUCCAAAAUGGGUGGUAAAUUUCAUCUAAAGCUAAAUAUUGGCGAGAGACCGAUAGCGAACAAGUACCGUGAGGGAAAGAUGAAAAGAACUUUGAAAAGAGAGUUAAACAGUACGUGAAAUUGUCAAAAGGGAAGCGUUUGACACCAGUGUUGUUUUCUCGAAAAUCAAUUAAAAAUGGCUCGAUUUUGUAUUGCUUGAGACCUUAAAAGCUCACUGUACAUUUUUACGUGUCUUUUUAAUGCACUUUUCGUUUAACAAGUCAACAUCAGUUUCUUUUGUUGUAAAAGGGUCAUUGGAAGGUGGCUUUCUUUUCGGAGAAAGUGUUUAUAGCCUUUGGCCUCUGCAAUCGGAGAGACUGAGGUCUGCAGCGUAGACUCUUCGGGGUUAGAUACAUUUGUGCUAAGUUAUAGCUUUUUAUAGACAACUUGUUGACUAUAAUUAGUCUUGUAGCUUACUCGCUUAUGCUAUUUUACCUACGCUUAGGAUGUUGAAGAUGUAGCACAUCAU